rnacentral:rRNA from 1 species
UACGUAGGGUGCAAGCGUUGUCCGGAAUUAUUGGGCGUAAAGAGCUCGUAGGCGGUCUGCCGCGUCGGAUGUGAAAACUCGGGGCUCAACCCCGGGCCUGCAUUCGAUACGGGCAGACUAGAGUUCGGCAGGGGAGACUGGAAUUCCUGGUGUAGCGGUGAAAUGCGCAGAUAUCAGGAGGAACACCGGUGGCGAAGGCGGGUCUCUGGGCCGAAACUGACGCUGAGGAGCGAAAGCGUGGGGAGCAAACAGG